rnacentral:misc_RNA from 1 species
GAUGAAGAACGCAGCGAAAUGCGAUAAGUAAUGCGAAUUGCAGAAUUUCCGUGAGUCAUCGAAUCUUUGAACGCACAUUGCGCCCCUUGGUAUUCCAUGGGGCAUGCCUGUUCGAGCGUCAUUUGUACCUUCAAGCUUUGCUUGGUGUUGGGUGUUUGUCCUGAGGGACUCGCCUUAAAGUAAUUGGCAGCCAGUGUUUGGUUUUGAAGCGCAGCACAAGUCGCGAUUCAAAGCUAUACGCCCGCUUCCACAAGCCUUUUUCACUUUUGACCUCGGAUCAGGUAGGGAUACCCGCUGAACUUAAGCAUAUCAAUAAGCGGAGGA